rnacentral:rRNA from 1 species
GACGAACCGAGCGAACGUUGUUCGGAAUCACUGGGCUUAAAGGGCUCGUAGGCGGCCAACUAAGUCAGACGUGAAAUCCCUCGGCUUAACCGGGGAACUGCGUCUGAUACUGGAUGGCUUGAGUUUGGGAGAGGGAUGCGGAAUUCCAGGUGUAGCGGUGAAAUGCGUAGAUAUCUGGAGGAACACCGGUGGCGAAGGCGGCAUCCUGGACCAACACUGACGCUGAGUGAGCGAAAGCCAGGGGAGCAAACGGGG